CACGUAGGGUGCAAGCGUUGUCCGGAAUUAUUGGGCGUAAAGGGCUCGUAGGCGGUCCGUCACGUCGGGAGUGAAAACUCGGGGCUCAACCCCGAGCCUGCUUCCGAUACGGGCGGACUAGAGGUAGGUAGGGGAGAACGGAAUUCCUGGUGUAGCGGUGGAAUGCGCAGAUAUCAGGAGGAACACCGGUGGCGAAGGCGGUUCUCUGGGCCGUACCUGACGCUGAGGAGCGAAAGCGUGGGGAGCGAACAGG
rnacentral:rRNA from 1 species